rnacentral:lncRNA from 1 species
GCGGGUUUAAAGAUGCUUCAGUUUUUUUUUAUUUUCAAAAAAGAUCACCCUUGCACCCAAACAAAUCGUGAGUCAAAGCAUUUUGUUUGUUUCCUUGAUUCUGAAUCAUGUAGGCGCUUCCUUGCAAAAAUGCCUUGAUUUAAAACGCUUGUUGACUACAGCAUCGGAAAGGUAUCACCAAAAACCAACGCUUGUUGACUACAGCACCGGAAAGAUAACACCAAUAACCAACAUAGCAAAAAAAAAAAUAGUGGACAAAAAUGGCCAAUAAAAAUUUUCGGGUCGCGGUGAUUUUACCGGGUCGGUCGUGUGAGGGG